rnacentral:rRNA from 6 species
AAAUUGAAGAGUUUGAUCAUGGCUCAGAUUGAACGCUGGCGGCAGGCCUAACACAUGCAAGUCGAACGGUAACAGGAAGCAGCUUGCUGCUUCGCUGACGAGUGGCGGACGGGUGAGUAAUGUCUGGGAAACUGCCUGAUGGAGGGGGAUAACUACUGGAAACGGUGGCUAAUACCGCAUAACGUCGCAAGACCAAAGAGGGGGACCUUCGGGCCUCUUGCCAUCAGAUGUGCCCAGAUGGGAUUAGCUAGUUGGUGAGGUAACGGCUCACCAAGGCGACGAUCCCUAGCUGGUCUGAGAGGAUGACCAGCCACACUGGAACUGAGACACGGUCCAGACUCCUACGGGAGGCAGCAGUGGGGAAUAUUGCACAAUGGGCGCAAGCCUGAUGCAGCCAUGCCGCGUGUAUGAAGAAGGCCUUCGGGUUGUAAAGUACUUUCAGCGGGGAGGAAGGUGUUGUGGUUAAUAACCGCAGCAAUUGACGUUACCCGCAGAAGAAGCACCGGCUAACUCCGUGCCAGCAGCCGCGGUAAUACGGAGGGUGCAAGCGUUAAUCGGAAUUACUGGGCGUAAAGCGCACGCAGGCGGUCUGUCAAGUCGGAUGUGAAAUCCCCGGGCUCAACCUGGGAACUGCAUUCGAAACUGGCAGGCUUGAGUCUUGUAGAGGGGGGUAGAAUUCCAGGUGUAGCGGUGAAAUGCGUAGAGAUCUGGAGGAAUACCGGUGGCGAAGGCGGCCCCCUGGACAAAGACUGACGCUCAGGUGCGAAAGCGUGGGGAGCAAACAGGAUUAGAUACCCUGGUAGUCCACGCCGUAAACGAUGUCUACUUGGAGGUUGUGCCCUUGAGGCGUGGCUUCCGGAGCUAACGCGUUAAGUAGACCGCCUGGGGAGUACGGCCGCAAGGUUAAAACUCAAAUGAAUUGACGGGGGCCCGCACAAGCGGUGGAGCAUGUGGUUUAAUUCGAUGCAACGCGAAGAACCUUACCUGGUCUUGACAUCCACAGAAGAAUCCAGAGAUGGAUUUGUGCCUUCGGGAACUGUGAGACAGGUGCUGCAUGGCUGUCGUCAGCUCGUGUUGUGAAAUGUUGGGUUAAGUCCCGCAACGAGCGCAACCCUUAUCCUUUGUUGCCAGCGGUUAGGCCGGGAACUCAAAGGAGACUGCCAGUGAUAAACUGGAGGAAGGUGGGGAUGACGUCAAGUCAUCAUGGCCCUUACGACCAGGGCUACACACGUGCUACAAUGGCGCAUACAAAGAGAAGCGACCUCGCGAGAGCAAGCGGACCUCAUAAAGUGCGUCGUAGUCCGGAUUGGAGUCUGCAACUCGACUCCAUGAAGUCGGAAUCGCUAGUAAUCGUGGAUCAGAAUGCCACGGUGAAUACGUUCCCGGGCCUUGUACACACCGCCCGUCACACCAUGGGAGUGGGUUGCAAAAGAAGUAGGUAGCUUAACCUUCGGGAGGGCGCUUACCACUUUGUGAUUCAUGACUGGGGUGAAGUCGUAACAAGGUAACCGUAGGGGAACCUGCGGUUGGAUCACCUCCUUACCUUAAAGAA